UACGUAGGGUGCGAGCGUUGUCCGGAAUUAUUGGGCGUAAAGAGCUCGUAGGCGGUCUGUCGCGUCGGUCGUGAAAACUUGGGGCUUAACCCUGAGCUUGCGGUCGAUACGGGCAUGACUGGAGUUCGGCAGGGGAGACUGGAAUUCCUGGUGUAGCGGUGAAAUGCGCAGAUAUCAGGAGGAACACCGGUGGCGAAGGCGGGUCUCUGGGACGGUACUGACGCUGAGACGCGAAAGCGUGGGGAGCGAACAGG
rnacentral:rRNA from 1 species